rnacentral:lncRNA from 1 species
GCCCGCGGGCGGAGCUUGCCUGUCACCGCCACCUGCGUCGCCACUGCCCAGGCACCUCCCGCGCUCGUCCCCUACCCCGGGUCCAGGUGCGUCUGGCACCGGAGCGAUGCCCACCGCCCCAGACACAGCCGAACGGACCCUCCACGCGUGCCGAGCAGGCACGCUCCACUGCACUCACUUGGCACGCGUGUGAACACUAUUCUGCCUCCUGUGCGUGCCUGCUCUGCACACAUGCCCAGAACACAUCACAUGCACUGGACCGCCGCGCACAGCCCACCUCGCCCUCAUCCGUGCAGGGAUCGAACUCAGGACCUUGCACUGGAAAGGCAGGCGAGGCGCCACCGAGCUACAUCCUGGGCUCCAGGAGCACCCAUCUCUUGCAAAGCCUGGCCCUACCUUGGGACUCUGCCAGCAAGAAUACCUCCAGACGCAACGCAUCCCUUCCAGCUUGGGCCAGAACUGGGAGCCAAAAUAAACUUCUUUGCUUUAUAAGGUACCUAGUCUGUGGUAUUGUGUUAUUAGCAACAGACGAAGACACCAAGUUUCCUUGUCUCAUCACUUUCUUCCCUUCAUCCUGCCUUCUUUUCCCAGUAGGCUAAGUUUCCAAGCACGAUUAUGUCAGCACCUUUCUUUCCAGGGUGUCAACACUUCCUUUCAUGCAUAUCUUGCUG